UGACGUGAAAGGAGUAAUGCAGAGGAAGAUGGAAAAAGGCAAUGUCGCGAGACUUUGCUGUGUGGGAAAUUUGCCACAUUUUUUUUUCAUAGCUGUGAGUGGCUCUGGGCUGCAGACACUCCUAAGUUAAGGAUUAUUGUCUCUAGUGUAAAUACAACUUGGAUCACCUGUCUAUUGGUUUCCAAAGAUACCACCAAUGCAGGCAUUAAUAUGCCAGGCUCCCAGGUCCAUUCUUACAUUUCUACACUACUAAAGCCCAAAUAAACAAACUCACUAAAAAUAAGGCUUUAUUUCAUUAAAAAAAUCACCUGGAAGCAAGAUCUGACCUUGUUUGAAAUUAUCUGCUGAGAAGGUGCUUAGACUUCACAUAAUUUUGAUUUACUUCAAAUAAUUCUGUAUUUGUCUUUUGAAGCCUUAGCAUGCACACUUCUGGGAACUCUGGCCACAGUGCUUUAUGGCAUAUAGUAGGUAUGCGCUUCUCCCCUCCCACUCCCAAAUCUGAGACCUCAAAUUCACAAAACAAGAGAUUGGGGUGGGGAACUGUAAUGUGUAGUUGCAUUCUAUCAGAAAGAAAACUGAUAUUAAGAGAUAAUAGGCCUAAGACUACCAGUGGAGUCAGGUUUGAACCUGAUUCAGAGCAGAUUCAGGGACCACUAGGCUUGAUCCUAUUUGAGACAGCUAUAUUGGUUGGAGGUAGACUUAUAUAUACAGUUACUUAAUGCUCACAAUACAAACAGCACCCUCACUGUAUAAGGAAGAGAGUUUUCUGCUUGCCAGAACCCUGAGAACUUGUAGUUCUCUGCUGGUAUAUAUUCAAAGGGUCUGGAUACACAGUAAUGGAGAGAAAGUCUGUCUGUCCUAACCAGGAAGAUGCAUUAGAUUUUUGGAGUACACAGUAAUGGAGGGAGUGUCUGAAUAUCCUAACUAGGAAGAUGCAUUACAUUUUCUGGGCACAUAGCAACGAGGGUGAGGGGCUGGGAGAGGAGUCUGUCUGUCCUAAGCAGGAAGAUGCAUUAGAUUUUCUGGAUACACAGUAAUGGAGGGAGUGUCUGUCUGUCCUAAGCAGGAAGAUGCAUUAGAUUUGAGGUGAAAGCCUGCUUAUCUUUAUGUAAGGCAAGACAAUCAGUGCAAAGUCACUCUUGAUAAGUGAGCCGACAUAUUCAGCUGUCACCUGCUGUCACCAUGGUUACAGAGCUAAGGGAUGGUGCACAUGAAAUGUAUGAGUUCUGGAUUAAAAGGGAUUUCUUUUCUAAACUCACUCUUUCCAGAACAAAGACGACUGCUGAUAGUACCUGGCCCCAAACAGUGUAGUCAUCACUUUCUAUGCAUUAUUUCAACAGGCACUUAAAACAACCUCAUGAGGCAGGAAUAUUUGUUAUCCUUAUUUUGUGGAUAAGAACAUCAAAGAUGAGAUGACUUAACAAGUUCUCAGUGUUGGAUAGCUGGAAGACAGACUUCUAAUCUGUGCUGUACACCUGAGGGUAGUGGGUUAGGGUCACUCGGCACCCUGCUUCUCAAUGGAGAAUGAUGGCAGCAAUAACAAUAGCGAAUAUCCUUUGCUAACUUGCUGUGAACCACACACUAUGUCACCUUGCCUCCGUGAUAAUCCAGAAGUGAUUUUAACCAGGAGAACGAAAAUUUAUCUAGUUGUGUCAUUUGCCAGUGACCGUAUAGCUACUAUUUAUUCAUUCUGUUCCCGAGACAAGGCAGUGAAUUAUGGGAAGAUAGAGCUUCUGUGGGUGUUUACCACCUGUUAAAUUCUUCAGGAGAAAUUUUAGUUAUCACAGUUUUUACAGUGAGGCGGGGGUAGACGUAGUGAGAAUGAUGGCUGAUUACUUUUUAGCUAGCGCUUUGUCAUUCUGAUAGACUUUCUUACCAAUUCUGCUGAUUUCUUUUCCUUUUGUUUCUUUUCCUGCAUGAGAUAUGGUGCAAGAUAAUAAGAGAUGAUGGGUUUGCUCAAUUAAUAACUUGUCAUACUUUGAAUAAUUACAAGGCCAUAUUUAUAUAUUGUAUAGGUAUUCAUCCCUGAAGAAUCCAAUACUACCAAGUGCUACCUCUGAUUAAAUGACAGGCUGAUGAGACCUGUUCGUCUGCCUCCAUGAAAUUUGAAAGGUAAUGCUGUAACUCAGGAAUCAGGAUGCUCUUUGGAUAUUCACCAUCCCCAGUGACUCAGACAUCAUUGCUGUGGUGGAAUGUUGAGGUGGAUUUCUGUUACCUGCACCAAGAGGCUGGACUCUCAAGGUGGAGCUCACGGAUCUGCACACAGUACCAGUGUCAGAGUAUUCUAAGUAGGGGAUUCUCAGAAGGUUCUUUGUGGACUCUGGGUCUGGAGGACUCCAAAUAGUCCUAGCUUGUCUUCAACUUUCAUAUUUUGAUCACGAGCUCCUUGAGUUGCAUAAAGAAGCCAGGUUCGUUGAAUGCUCGUGCAUGUGCUGAGGAGAUAGUGGACGGGAGCUCAGUGGAUACCAGCUCAAGCACUGCAUGUGAGCUUCAUGGAAAUGUUCCUUAGAGGGGAGACCACGCAGGGACGGACUGAGGGGUAAAGGUUUCCCCACACCACAGUUUCUCUGAAUCUUCAUAUCAACGUAGUCCCCUAUUCAGGUCUGUGAAGAAUUGUCUUGCUAAAGAUAAUCAGGCUGCAAUCCACAACCCCAGAGACGCAAGUCUGUUCCCUAUGGUGGGAUACCUCGCUCAGCUCAGCCUUGAUACAUGGGAGAGGAACCUUACCUGUUCUGAGGAGUGGAUGAAAUGUGAUUUUAAGGCACACAGACACACCCCACUCCUUCAGUUUUGUGGAAUGUUUGCUUGGAAGAGUGAGAAACCUUGAAGAACUCAGUGAUAAAUGGGAUGUCUCCACCAAGUCACUCCGCAAAUGGCUUAGGGAACUCUGUGGAAGAGGAAGAACAAAGAUUAUAAGCGCCAGGAGGGAUGGAAAACAUGACAUUCUAUACACCUUAGGGCUGAUGCACAUAUGAACUCACAAAGACUUCAGGAACAUUCCCAGGAUCUGCAUAAAUCUGAGCCAUGUAGAGUCCCAUUGCUGAGAGUGAGAAAUGGAAACAAGCCUUCAUCACUACCCAGAAGCCAUCUCCAGUUGACAACUGCUUACAGAAGAAAAAUUAGUUUUCUCCAAAAUGGUCUUACCAUGUACACAAACCACACUUGAGGCCCGAUUCCCAGCAGUAGAUGGCAAGCACAAAAUAAACUCAACGAUGUUUUACGA